rnacentral:rRNA from 1 species
UACGUAGGGUGCGAGCGUUAAUCGGAAUUACUGGGCGUAAAGUGUGCGCAGGCGGCCGAGCAAGUCGAGUGUGAAAGCCCCGAGCUUAACUUGGGAACUGCGCUCGAAACUACUUGGCUGGAGUGUGGCAGAGGAAGGUGGAAUUCCACGUGUAGCGGUGAAAUGCGUAGAUAUCGGGAGGAACACCUGUGGCGAAAGCGGCUCACUGGACCACAACUGACGCUGAGGCGCGAAAGCUAGGGGAGCAAACAGG